AUGUGUUGUGGGAGGAUCCCAGGGGAGAUAAUUGAAUCAUGGGGGCUGGUCUUUGCCGUGCUAUUCUCGUGAUAGUGAAUAAGUCUCACAUGAUCUGAUGGGUUUAUCAGGGGUUUCCUCUUUUGCUUCUUCCUCAUUUUUCUCUUGCUGCCACCAUGUAAGAAGUGCCUUUUGCCUCCUACCGUGAUUCUGAGGCCUCCCCAGCCAUGUGGAACUGUCUGUAUCAUGUUUAUGAGCUGUCACACCACAAAGGUCUGCAGUGUCACUCCUGAAAGCAGUGAGAUCACAAAUCCACCAGGAGGAACAAACGACUCUGGAAGUGCUGCUUUUAUGAGCUGUAACACUCACUGCGAAGGUCUGCAGCUUCACUGUUGAGGUCAGUGAGACCACAAACCCACCAGAAGGAAGAAAGUCCAGACACAUCUGAACAUGUGAAGGAACAUUCUGGACACACCAUCUUUAAGAACUGUAACACUCACCGUCAGGGUCCGCGGCUUCAUUAAGUCAACAAGACCAAGAACCCACUGAUUCUGGACACACCGGAACCAUACAUCUGCUCCUAACGGUUUCUCUGGCAAGAACAGGGUGACCUAGUCAUACCUUUUGCCCAUUACCACCUGGCGAUACAGGAGGGCUUUAGCGUGGUUCAGCUGCCAUAACUCUCAUGUUCUUGGGUGGUUUCCAUUAUCGGCCAGUCAGUUUUCCCAAUCGUGUGUGAUUUUUUGGGGGUAGAGGAGGGUCUGCUACAAAGCUAUAAAUAUAUUCAUAUGUAUACACACA